rfam:Gossypium raimondii Chr04_contig_1283, whole genome shotgun sequence.
UGUUAAAAUCUCAUCCAAUUCUAUUGUUAAAAACUGGCAUGAUUGACAGAAUUACCAGACAAUUACAUAUGAAGUUUCACGUAUAUCUCAUUCCGACACACAAGGACCAGUUUUUAACAAUAGAAAUGGAUGAAUUUUUUAACA